rnacentral:rRNA from 1 species
AAAUAAGCAUAUCACAUAAGCGGAGGAAAAGAAACCAACAGGGAUUCCCCUAGUAACGGCGAGUGAAGCGGGAACAGCUCAAAUUUGAAAUCUGGCCCUCGGGUCCGAGUUGUAAUUUGCAGAGGAUGCUUUUGGUGCGGUGCCUUCCGAGUUCCCUGGAACGGGACGCCUUAGAGGGUGAGAGCCCCGUACGGUUGGCCACCAAGCCUGUGUAAAGCUCCUUCGACGAGUCGAGUAGUUUGGGAAUGCUGCUCAAAACGGGAGGUAUAUUUCUUCUAAAGCUAAAUACUGGCCAGAGACCGAUAGCGCACAAGUAGAGUGAUCGAAAGAUGAAAAGCACUUUGAAAAGAGGGUUAAAUAGCACGUGAAAUUGUUGAAAGGGAAGGGUUUAUGACCAGACUUUUUCUAGGGGGAUCAUCCGGUGUUCUCACCGGUGCACUUCCCCUAGUUGAGGCCAGCAUCGGUUUCUGCCGGGGGAUAAAAGCUUCGGGAAUGUGGCUCCUUCGGGAGUGUUAUAGCCCGUUGUAUAAUACCCUGGCGGGGACCGAGGUUCGCGCAUUCGCAAGGAUGCUGGCGUAAUGGUUAUUAACCACCCGUCUUGAAACACGGACCAAGGAGUCGAACAUUUGUGCGAGUGUUUGGGUGUUAAACCCUCACGCGUAAUGAAAGUGAACGGAGGUGAGAGCCUUUAGGGGUGCAUCAUCGACCGAUCCUGAUGUCUUCGGAUGGAUUUGAGUAGGAGCAUCACUGUUCGGACCCGAAAGAUGGUGAACUAUGCGUGGAUAGGGUGAAGCCAGAGGAAACUCUGGUGGAGGCUCGCAGCGGUUCUGACGUGCAAAUCGAUCGUCAAAUCUGCGCAUGGGGGCGAAAGACUAAUCGAACCAUCUAGUUAGCUGGUUACCGCCGAAGUUCCCCCUUCAGGAUACA